GAUGGAAAAGAAAAUAAAUAAUAAAAAAAGAGUAGAAGGGCAAAACGGCAGAUGAUAGAGAGUUGGAGAAGCAGAGGGAGACAAAAUAAGAAAAUGAAGGGACUUUUCAAAAAAAGUUUAUACUCCAAAUGCAAGAGAGAUGUAGAGAGGGACUUAACAUGUAAAAAUUGCAAAGAAAGAAAGCUGGGGCAAGUUCUCUUACAUCAACCACCUAAGAGUCAUGGCAUAAGAAGCAACCACCUCUCCUCUUCGUCUCUGCCACCUGCUCAGCGGCUGUGAAGCAGCAACAAUGUGUGAGCGUCUCUCCAUCCACGUUGGCCGGGCUGGUGUCCAGACUGGUAAUGCCUGCUGGGACCACAACUGCCUGGAACUUGGCAUCCAACCCAAUGGCCAGAUGCCAAGUGAUAAGACCACUGGGGGAAGAGAUGACUCUUUCAACACCUUCUUUAGUGAGACAAGCACUGGCAAGCGUGUGCCCAGGGCAGUAUUUGUAGACCUAGAGCCCACAGUCAUUAAUGAAAUUCACAUUGGCACCUACUGUCAGCUCUUCUCCCCUGAGCAGCUCAUUAUAGGCAAGUAAGAUGCUGCCAAUAACUAUACCUGAGGGCACUAUAACAUUGGCAAGGAAAUCACUGACCUAGUCUUGGACCAAAUUCAUAAACUGGCCAAUCAGUGCACAGCUCUUCAGGGCUUCUUGAUUUUCCACAGGGCUUUGGUUGGGGAACUGGUUCUGGGUUGACCUCUUGCUGAUGGAGCUCCAAUCUGUUGACUAUGGUGAGCAGUACAAGCUGGAGUGGUCCAUUUACCCAGCCCCCUAGGUUUCCACAGCGGUAUUUGAGCCCUACAACUCCAUCCUCACCACCCACACCACCAUGGAGCACUCUGAUUGUGCCUUCAUGGUAGACAAUGAGGCCAUCUGUGAGAGCUGUCAUAGAACCCUCGAUACUGAGCGCCCAACCUAUACUAACCUGAAUAGGUUGAUAGGUCAACUUGUGUCCUCUGUCAUUGCUUCCCUCAGAUUGAUGGACCUAAAUGUUGAUCUGACAGAAUUCUAGACCAACCUGGUGACCUAUCCCUGCUUCUGCCUCCUUCUAGCCACAUAUGCCCCUGUGAUCUCUGCUGAGAAAAGCCUACCGUGAACAGUUUUCUGUAGCAGAGAUCGUCCAUGCUUGCUUUGAGCCAGCCAACCAGAUGGUGAAAUGUGACCCUCGCCACGGUAAAUACAUGGCUUGCUGCCUGUUGUGCCACAGUGAUGUGGUUCCCAAAGAUGUCAAUGCUGCCAUUGCCACCGUCAAGACCAAGCAUACCAUCCAGUUUGUGCAUUGGUGUCCCACUGGCUUCAAGGUUGACCUUAAUUACCAGCCUCCCAUUGUGGUACCUGGUGGAAACCUGGCCAAGGCACUGUGUGCACUGAGAGCUGUGUGCAUGCUGAGCAACACCACAGCCAUUGCUGAGGCCUGGGCUCGCCUGGACCACAAGUUUGACCUGACGUGUGCCAAGCGUGCCUUUCUUCACUAGUAUAUAGGUGAGGGAAUGGAGGAAGGAGAGUAGUCUGAGGCCCGUGAGGACCUGGCUGCCCUUGAGAAGGAUUAUGAGGAGGUUGGUGUGGAUUCUGUUGAAGGAGAGGGUGAGGAAGAAGGAGAAUACUAGAGUUAAAAUGUCACAAAGGCGCUGCUUUUCCUGGGAAGCGAAUUAUGUUUUAAAGAUUGAAAAGUUGUGAUCUGAUCAGUUAAUUUGUUUGUAGCAGUGUACGCUCUCAUAUGCAGUUACUGACCUAUUCUUUAAAACAUGCAUGCUCUGUUACAGACCCACGCUGUCCAUUUCUCUGAUGGGUUUUGAAUAAAGUAUUCCCUGUCUUAA